UGGGGAAUUUUGGACAAUGGGCGAAAGCCUGAUCCAGCAAUGCCGCGUGUGCGAAGAAGGCCUUCGGGUUGUAAAGCACUUUUGUCCGGAAAGAAAUUUCCCGGGUUAAUACCUCGGGAGGAUGACGGUACCGGAAGAAUAAGCACCGGCUAACUACGUGCCAGCAGCCGCGGUAAUACGUAGGGUGCGAGCGUUAAUCGGAAUUACUGGGCGUAAAGCGUGCGUAGGCGGCCGUGUAAGACAGGUGUGAAAUCCCCGGGCUCAACCUGGGAACUGCACUUGUGACUGCAUGGCUAGAGUGUGUCAGAGGGAGGUGGAAUUCCGCGUGUAGCAGUGAAAUGCGUAGAGAUGCGGAGGAACACCGAUGGCGAAGGCAGCCUCCUGGGAUAACACUGACGCUCAGGCACGAAAGCGUGGGGAGCAAACA
rnacentral:rRNA from 1 species